CUAUACAUGACUCUGUGCAUAUCAAUAAGCGGAGGAAAAGAAACUAACAAGGAUUCCCCUUAGUAACGGCGAGUGAAGCGGGAAGAGCUCAAAUUUGAAAUCUUCAAGGGUUUACCUUUACGAAUUGUAGUUUAAAGAAGUGUUUUCUGCUGAAGUUUUGGUAAAAGUUCUUUGGAAUAGGACAUCAUAGAGGGUGAGAAUCCCGUAUUUGACCAUUUACUUUUCAGCUUUGUGAUACACUUUCAAAGAGUCGGAUUGUUUGGGAAUGCAGUCCAAAAUGGGUGGUAAAUUUCAUCUAAAGCUAAAUAUUGGCGAGAGACCGAUAGCGAACAAGUACCGUGAGGGAAAGAUGAAAAGAACUUUGAAAAGAGAGUUAAACAGUACGUGAAAUUGUCAAAAGGGAAGCGUUUGACACCAGUGUUGUUUUUCUGAAAAUCAAUUAAAGAACUGUUUAUGCUAAGUUGUUUAGACUUUAUCAGCUAACUGUUUAGUUUUGAGCUUUUCUUUAAUGCACUUUUCAGUUAACAAGUCAACAUCAAUUUCUUUUGCUGUAAAAAAGCUUGAGGAAGGUGGCUUGAGAUUCGUCUUAAGUGUUUAUAGCCUCUUGCCUAUGCAGUCGGAGAGAUUGAGGUCUGCAGCGUAGAUCCUUCGGGGCUAAAUGCAUUUGUGCUAAGUUAUAGCAUUUUAUAGACAACUUGUUGACUAUGAUUUGUCUUGUAGCUUACUCGCUUAUGUUAUUUUACCUACGCUUAGGAUGUUGACAGCAGUAUAGACUGU
rnacentral:rRNA from 1 species